rnacentral:misc_RNA from 1 species
GGAGUUAGAUAUGUACAAAUAGGCUGUAUAGAUUUUGCUGAGGUAUGAUAUAUUUUUUUUGGUGUUGAAAGAAAGAAAUUUUAGAAUCGUAUCAUUUUAUGUAUCAUAUUAAUUAGAGUUAGAAAAUACAAUGCAAGGAAUGAGAGAAUUUUCCAUUCAUUUUGACUCAUCGAAGCUUUAGAUUAGAAAUAGUUUUGAUUUGAAAUCGAUUAAAAUUGGUUGUCAAUGUGCAAUAUUGUUACACAUAUACUUGCCUUUUUUCCCCUCUAAUUCAACAACUUUUUAAAUUCUUUUAUUUAAUCGGUGAUUUAAAAUUUCAAAACAAGUAAAAUCUCGUCUCACUCUCACAUAUGUACUACUUAUGGGCUUUUGUUACGUGUUUGGACUAAACAAUGUAUUAGUACUGGUAAUACUAACCACCGCCACACUGGGGUCCUUUCCAUCAUCCGUUUACUUUUUGUAGCACGAUUACAACAUUCAUAUCUGUCUGAGAGAAUCUCAUAUUUUUACCUGUUAGGACUUUUUUUGGUCAGUCCGCAUGUACUCGUUACCUUAACUAUUAGCUUAUUAAUUAAACAUAAAAAAAGAAGCAAAUUUCAUUAUUGUACAUAACAUAUUAAUUAAGGCAAUAAUGUUGGAAUGUGGUUAUCUACCAAGUUUGUUACACUUAUAAGAUUUCGGUCAUUCAUGCUAGAUUUUUAUUUGAUGAAGGGGUGGGAGGGGGGAGGAUUGUAGAAUUAAUUUGCUUGAAAAACUUUGCAAGAUUUAAUUUUUCCCCCAUUUUGUUGGAAUUUAUUCAAAUACUCUCGUAGGUACUUAUGUUAACAUGUGUUUUUCCACCACCAAAAUUUCCCUAACUGUUCAUUAUAAUUUCCCCUAGCUUUUCGUUAUAAUUUUUCUUAGCUUUUUAUUAUAUUUUCUCCUGCAAACUUUUCAUUAUUUCUGUAUAGUUCUAUUUUUUUCAAGAAGCUGGUGCAGUAUAAAAUUAUAUUUUGAUAAAAACUGAUUGAUCGUU